ACGGGUGAGGAAUACGUCGGAAUCUGCCUAUUUGUGGGGGAUAACGUAGGGAAACUUACGCUAAUACCGCAUACGACCUACGGGUGAAAGCGGAGGACCUUCGGGCUUCGCGCAGAUAGAUGAGCCGACGUCGGAUUAGCUAGUUGGCGGGGUAAAGGCCCACCAAGGCGACGAUCCGUAGCUGGUCUGAGAGGAUGAUCAGCCACACUGGAACUGAGACACGGUCCAGACUCCUACGGGAGGCAGCAGUGGGGAAUAUUGGACAAUGGGCGCAAGCCUGAUCCAGCCAUGCCGCGUGUGUGAAGAAGGCCUUCGGGUUGUAAAGCACUUUUGUCCGGAAAGAAAAGCAUUGGGUUAAUACCCCGAUGUCAUGACGGUACCGGAAGAAUAAGCACCGGCUAACUUCGUGCCAGCAGCCGCGGUAAUACGAAGGGUGCAAGCGUUACUCGGAAUUACUGGGCGUAAAGCGUGCGUAGGUGGUUUGUUAAGUCUGAUGUGAAAGCCCUGGGCUCAACCUGGGAAUGGCAUUGGAAACUGGCUGACUAGAGUGCGGUAGAGGGUAGUG
rnacentral:rRNA from 1 species